AGCUAAAGUACCUGACUGACCCUGGGAGGGAGGACCCCUUCCGAGAGAGAGAGAGCAGGAACUGCACUGCACAGGGAAGGUGAGAGAAGUCAAUUCAACAAUCCUGUGAGAUCUGCUCAUUCGAGCAGAGGGGAUCUUUGUCUAGUUUGGUGACACCAGGGCAGAUCAGACUGAUUCAACUGUUGUCCAUGGGCCAUUGGAUUGGAUCAUACAGCGGCCUACACAGAUACAUUGAACUGCCACCUCUUCAUGCUCAUACAGUCCUCCGAGGGGAUUUUCAAACCUGUAUUUGGCAUAUAUGGGACACACAGGCCCUCCUGAGGGAUUUAUACAUGAGCAGAUAAGCUGCUGACUUGGCCACAUCAUGUAUCACCAGCUUAAAACUCUCAUUUAUUUGUUUCAAGGGAAAUGUUUGUAAAAAGAAAAAUAGAUAUUCCCAAAAUAUAUACAUUACAUCUGGAUGUUCAGUUGCAAGGGAACUCAAUAAGCAAGUCCCACUAAUAAAUCCUUUUGAGUGGAACCAGUAAUAUCCAUGACAGCCUGUUUGAGGACAAUAACACCCCAUGCAGUAUGGUCCAUGAGUAUUCAGUUUGAUGAGAUGAGAGAUCAAGAAUCCAGCUGGUCUGUACAAAGCCCUGAUUUAACCCAAGUGGGCACCUAUAAAAUGAAUCAGGGUGCUGACCGAGAGCCAGGGCUGAUCCCCCAAAAUAUGUGAUCGCCAUCUUGUGGCUGAAUGGAAGCAAAUCCCACCAGCAGUGUUCCAACAUCUAGUGGAAAUCUUCCCAGAAGAGAAGAGGCUGUUUUAGCAGCAAAGGGAGGACAACUUCAUAUUAACACCAUUAAGGGCUCAUUUAUGAACACAAGCACUAAACUGUGCACAUGCUAAUUCCAACAAACACAUACUCAAAUACUUUUAUCUAAUUUGCCUAGGAACUCUGUCUCCUCCCACUGCAAUAAAGUGUUAUAUAUUAUUCAUAUUUAUACACUUGUUUUUUAUUGCAACAUAUACCUUUUCAACUGACGCAUUUAUUUUGUGAAUUGUUUAUAAUUGUGUCUUUGCGCACUGGUUUCUUCUGUUAUUAUAUUUGGAAUCCUUAGACAUUGCAUCUUUCUACAGGAGCCAAUAUAACACAAGCUUGUAACUAUUAGUUAUGAUACUCAGGGAUCUUGUACCAUAAUAAAUGUCUCAGGGCUCGG